rnacentral:rRNA from 1 species
GUGGGGAAUCUUGCGCAAUGGCCGAAAGGCUGACGCAGCGACGCCGCGUGGAGGAUGACGCCCUUCGGGGUGUAAACUCCUGUCGCCUGGGAAGAACAUCGGAUUUCGAUCCGACUGACGGUACCAGGAGAGGAAGCACCGGCUAACUCUGUGCCAGCAGCCGCGGUAAUACAGAGGGUGCGAGCGUUGUCCGGAAUCACUGGGCGUAAAGGGCGCGUAGGUGGCUUCCAACGCGUGCGGUGAAAGCCCGGGGCUCAACUCCGGGUCGGCCGUGCGAACGGGGAAGCUUGAGUCAGGUAGAGGCUGAUGGAAUUCCGGGUGUAGCGGUGGAAUGCGUAGAGAUCCGGAAGAACACCGGUGGCGAAGGCGGUCAGCUGGGCCUGAACUGACACUGAGGCGCGACAGCGUGGGGAGCAAACAGGAUUAGAAACCCCAGUAGUCC